rnacentral:rRNA from 1 species
GCGUGAGUGAUGAAGGUCUUCGGAUCGUAAAACUCUGUUAUCAGGGAAGAACAAGUAUCGGAGUAACUGCCGGUACCUUGACGGUACCUGACCAGAAAGCCACGGCUAACUACGUGCCAGCAGCCGCGGUAAUACGUAGGUGGCAAGCGUUGUCCGGAAUUAUUGGGCGUAAAGCGCGCGCAGGCGGUCUCUUAAGUCUGAUGUGAAAUCCCGUGGCUUAACCACGGGCGGUCAUUGGAAACUGGGGGACUUGAGUGCAGAAGAGAAGAGCGGAAUUCCACGUGUAGCGGUGAAAUGCGUAGAGAUGUGGAGGAACACCAGUGGCGAAGGCGGCUCUUUGGUCUGUAACUGACGCUGAGGCGCGAAAGCGUGGGGAGCGAACAGGAUUAGAUACCCUGGUAGUCCACGCCGUAAACGAUGAGUGCUAAGUGUUAGAGGGUUUCCGCCCUUUAGUGCUGCAGUUAACGCAUUAAGCACUCCGCCUGGGGAGUACGGCCGCAAGGCUGAAACUCAAAGGAAUUGACGGGGGCCCGCACAAGCGGUGGAGCAUGUGGUUUAAUUCGAAGCAACGCGAAGAACCUUACCAGGUCUUGACAUCCCGCUGCCCGGUCUGGAGACAGGCCUUUCCCUUCGGGGACAGCGGUGACAGGUGGUGCAUGGUUGUCGUCAGCUCGUGUCGUGAGAUGUUGGGUUAAGUCCCGCAACGAGCGCAACCCUUGACCUUAGUUGCCAGCAUUCAG